rnacentral:rRNA from 1 species
GGGCCCGCACAAGCGGUGGAGCAUGUGGUUUAAUUCGAUGAUACGCGAGGAACCUUACCAGGGCUUAAAUGUAAGUUGCAUAGAUCAGAGAUGGUCUUUUCUUCGGACUACUUACAAGGUGCUGCAUGGUUGUCGUCAGCUCGUGCCGUGAGGUGUCAGGUUAAGUCCUAUAACGAGCGCAACCCCUAUCGUUAGUUGCCAUCAAGUAAAGUUCGGGAACUCUAGCGAAACUGCCGGUGCAAACCGAGAGGAAGGUGGGGAUGACGUCAAAUCAUCACGGCCCUUACGUCCUGGGCUACACACGUGCUACAAUGGCCGGUACAGAGAGCAGCCACUUCGCAAGAAGGAGCG